rnacentral:rRNA from 1 species
AGAGUUUGAUCCUGGCUCAGAUUAAACGCUGGCGGAAUGCUUUACACAUGCAAGUCGGGCGGCAGCAUGGACUUCGGUCUGAUGGCGAGCGGCGAACGGGUGAGUAACAUAUAGGAACAUACCCAGUAAUGGGGGAUAACGCCGAGAAAUCGGUGCUAAUACCGCAUACGCCCUGAGGGGGAAAGCGGGGGAUCUUCGGACCUCGCGUUACUGGAUUGGCCUAUAUCUGAUUAGCUAGUUGGUGGGGUAAAGGCCCACCAAGGCGACGAUCUGUAGCGGGUCUGAGAGGAUGAUCCGCCACACUGGGACUGAGACACGGCCCAGACUCCUACGGGAGGCAGCAGUGGGGAAUUUUGGACAAUGGGCGCAAGCCUGAUCCAGCCAUGCCGCGUGCAGGAAGAAGGCCUUCGGGUUGUAAACUGCUUUCGGACGGAAAGAAAUCGCCACUUCUAAUACGAG